rnacentral:rRNA from 1 species
GACGAACGCUGGCGGCGUGCUUAACACAUGCAAGUCGAGCGAUGAAAGCCUUAUGAACUAUUCGUAGUGAUUGGGGCCGGAUUAGCGGCGGACGGGUGAGUAACGCGUGAGCAACCUGCCUUAAACAACGGGAUAGCCUCGGGAAACCGGGAUUAAUACCGUAUGAGACCCCGCCUUCCCAUGAAGAAGAGGUUAAAGAUUUAUCGGUUUAAGAUGGGCUCGCGUCUGAUUAGCUAGUUGGUGAGAUAAAAGCCCACCAAGGCAACGAUCAGUAACCGGCUUGAGAGAGUGAACGGUCACAUUGGAACUGAGACACGGUCCAAACUCCUACGGGAGGCAGCAGUGGGGAAUAUUGCACAAUGGGGGAAACCCUGAUGCAGCGACGCCGCGUGAGCGAUGAAGGAAUUCGUUUCGUAAAGCUCGGUCCAAGGGGAAGACAAUGACAGUACCCUUGGAGGAAGCCCCGGCUAAAUACGUGCCAGCAGCCGCAGUAA